AUGGGCCUUUUGCUCCUGUCCCUCCUGCUCUUGGCCGGUGCACCAGGGGUCUGCUCCCAGGUUCAGCUGCUCCAGGCCACUGCGGCCCAGGAAAAGCCUGCAGGGACCUUGAGACUCACUUGUGCCGUGUCUGGAUUCUCCCUCACUGAAUAUGGGAGUUCUUUGAUCUGGAUCCGACAGCCCCCAGGGAAAGGCCUGGAGUGGCUAUGCAUCAUCUACGGGGAUGAUGACAAGCGCUACCAGGACUCCAUGAAGUCCCGCCUGACCAUCUCCAGGGACACGUCCAAAAGCGAGGUGUAUUUGGAGCUGACAGGCCUGGAAGCCAGAGACAGCGGCACCUACUACUGUGUCCUGGCCCAGGUCACACUGAAGGAGUCUGGCCCUGGGGUGGUGAAGCCCGGAGAGACCCUCAGCCUGACCUGCACCGUGUCUGGAGUCUCUCUCACUAGCAGUGAUGUGAGCUGGGUUCGGCAGGCAGCAGGGAAAGGGCUGGAGUGGGUUGGAGUUAUCUGGGGUGGUGGAAGCAGCUACUAUAACAGCGCUCUCCAAAGCCGCCUCACCAUCAUAAGAGACACGUCCAGCAGCCAAGUUUACCUGCGUCUGACCGGGGUCCAACCUGCAGACACGGCCUGGUAUUACUGUGCCAGGAACACAGUGAAUGAAAAUGCAUGAGAGCCUGCACAAAAACCAGCCUGCAGCACCUGCCUGCCUGUGUGAGCAGCAGAGGCAGCA